GAUGAACGCUGGCGGCGUGCCUAAUACAUGCAAGUCGAGCGAACGGACGAGAAGCUUGCUUGUCUGAUGUUAGCGGCGGACGGGUGAGUAACACGUGGAUAACCUACCUAUAAGACUGGGAUAACUUCGGGAAACCGGAGCUAAUACCGGAUAAUAUUUUGAACCGCAUGGUUCAAAAGUGAAAGACGGUCUUGCUGUCACUUAUAGAUGGAUCCGCGCUGCAUUAGCUAGUUGGUAAGGUAACGGCUUACCAAGGCAACGAUGCAUAGCCGACCUGAGAGGGUGAUCGGCCACACUGGAACUGAGACACGGUCCAGACUCCUACGGGAGGCAGCAGUAGGGAAUCUUCCGCAAUGGGCGAAAGCCUGACGGAGCAACGCCGCGUGAGUGAUGAAGGUCUUCGGAUCGUAAAACUCUGUUAUUAGGGAAGAACAUAUGUGUAAGUAACUGUGCACAUCUUGACGGUACCUAAUCAGAAAGCCACGGCUAACUACGUG
rnacentral:rRNA from 1 species